rnacentral:rRNA from 1 species
GACGAACGCUGGCGGCGUGCUUAACACAUGCAAGUCGAGCGGAAAGGCCCUUUCGGGGGUACUCGAGCGGCGAACGGGUGAGUAACACGUGAGUAAUCUGCCCUUCACUCUGGGAUAGCCACCGGAAACGGUGAUUAAUACCGGAUACGACCAAUCCCUGCAUGGGGUGUUGGUGGAAACUUUUUGGGUGGGGGAUGUGCUCGCGGCCUAUCAGCUUGUUGGUGGGGUAAUGGCCUACCAAGGCUUCGACGGGUAGCCGGCCUGAGAGGGUGGCCUGCCACAAUGGGACUGAGACACGGCCCAGACUCCUACGGGAGGCAGCAAUGGGGAGUAGUGGACAAUGGGCGGAAGCCUGAUCCAGCAACGCCGCGUGAGGGAUGACGGCCUUCGGGUUGUAAACCUCUUUCAGCACCGACGAAGCGAUCCUUUGGGGAGUGACGGUAGGUGCAGAAGAAGGACCGGCCAACUACGUGCCAGCCGCCGCCGUAAAAC